CCUACGGGUGACUGCAGUGAGGAAUAUUGGUCAAUGGGCGCGAGCCUGAACCAGCCAAGUCGCGUGAGGGAAGACGGCCCUACGGGUUGUAAACCUCUUUUGCCGGGGAGCAACGGGCGCCACGUGUGGCGCCACUGAGAGUACCCGGAGAAAAAGCAUCGGCUAACUCCGUGCCAGCAGCCGCGGUAAUACGUAGGAUGCGAGCGUUAUCCGGAUGUAUUGGGUGUAAAGGGUGCGUAGGCGGAGCGUUAAGUCAGUGGUCAAAUUGAGGGGCUCAACCCCUUCCCGCCAUUGAAACUGGCGAUCUUGAGUGGAAGAGAAGUAUGCGGAAUGCGAGGUGUAGCGGUGAAAUGCAUAGAUAUCACGCAGAACCCCGAUGGCGAAGGCAGCAUGCCGGCUUCCUACUGACGCUGAAGCACGAAAGCGUGGGGAUCGAACAGGAUUAGAUACCCCAGUAGUC
rnacentral:rRNA from 1 species